UCGAUUUGGAGUUCGUUGCCCUGAGUGAUGGGCUCCGAAGCUAACGCGAUAAAUCGACCGCCUGGGGAGUACGGCCGCAAGGUUAAAACUCAAAUGAAUUGACGGGGGCCCGCACAAGCGGUGGAGCAUGUGGUUUAAUUCGAUGCAACGCGAAGAACCUUACCUGGUCUUGACAUCCACAGAAUCUUGCAGAGAUGCGAGAGUGCCUUCGGGAACUGUGAGACAGGUGCUGCAUGGCUGUCGUCAGCUCGUGUUGUGAAAUGUUGGGUUAAGUCCGGCAACGAGCGCAACCCUUAUCCUUUGUUGCCAUUGGUUCGGCCGGGAACUCAAAGGAGACUGCCGUUGAUAAAGCGGAGGAAGGUGGGGACGACGUCAAGUCAUCAUGGCCCUUACGACCAGGGCUACACACGUGCUACAAUGGCGUAUACAAAGGGAGGCGAUCUCGCGAGAGCAAGCGGACCUCAUAAAGUACGUCUAAGUCCGGAUUGGAGUCUGCAACUCGACUCCAUGAAGUCGGAAUCGCUAGUAAUCGUGAAUCAGAAUGUCACGGUGAAUACGUUCCCGGGCCU
rnacentral:rRNA from 1 species